CCUACGGGUGGCAGCAGUGGGGAAUAUUGGGCAAUGGGCGCAAGCCUGACCCAGCAACGCCGCGUGAAGGAAGAAGGCUUUCGGGUUGUAAACUUCUUUUCUGAGGGACGAAGAAAGUGACGGUACCUCAGGAAUAAGCCACGGCUAACUACUGGCCAGCAGCCGCGGUAAUACGUAGGUGGCAAGCGUUAUCCGGAUUUAUUGGGUGUAAAGGGCGGGUAGGCGGGAAAGAAAGCCGGAUGUGAAAACUCCGGGCUCAACCCCGGGCCUGCAUUUGAAACUGUUUGUCUUGAGUGCUGGAGAGGCAAGCGGAAUUCCGUGUGUAGCGGUGAAAUGCGUAGAUAUACGGAGGAACACCAGUGGCGAAGGCGGAUUGCUGGACAGUGACUGACGCUGAGGCGCGAAAGCGUGGGGAGCAAACAGGAUUAGAUACCCCGGUAGUC
rnacentral:rRNA from 1 species